GAGCGCCAAGAUCUCGUUUAGGAGUUGUCCUUGCUGCAAAUACGGAGUGCCCCAGUCCAAAGCCAUCAACACCUCGGAGAUCUUUGAUUUGCUGUGCCCUUCCUGCUACAGCAUGAUGAAGAAGCUGAGCUCCGCCCAGAUCAUGGAGGUGUGUAAAUACUGUCCUUGGUGCGGCCACACAGCGUCCCAGAGA